GAUGAACGCUGGCGGCGUGCCUAAUACAUGCAAGUCGAACGCAUUGUGGUUGAAAUGGUAUGAAGAACUUGUUCAGAUUUGAUUUUCAACAUUGCAAUGAGUGGCGAACGGGUGAGUAACACGUGGGAAACCUACCUCUUAGCAGGGGAUAACAUUUGGAAACAAAUGCUAAUACCGUAUAAUAAUUAAAACCGCAUGGUUUUAGUUUAAAAGAUGGUCUUGCUAUCACUAAGGGAUGGUCCCGCGGUGUAUUAGUUAGUUGGUGAGGUAAUGGCUCACCAAGACAAUGAUACAUAGCCGAGUUGAGAGACUGACCGGCCACAAUGGGACUGAGACACGGCCCAUACUCCUACGGGAGGCAGCAGUAGGGAAUCUUCCACAAUGGACGAAAGUCUGAUGGAGCAACGCCGCGUGUGUGAUGAAGGGUUUCGGCUCGUAAAACACUGUUGUAAGAGAAGAAUGACAUUGAGAGUAACUGUUCAAUGUGUGACGGUAUC
rnacentral:rRNA from 1 species